rnacentral:rRNA from 1 species
CAACAGCGUAUAUUAAAGUUGUUGCAGUUAAAAAGCUCGUAGUUGGAUUUCGGGGCAGCCUGGCUGGUCCGCCGCAAGGCGAGUACUGGUCAGCCGCCCUUCCUCUCGAAAGCCCCGACUGCUCUUUAUUGCAGUGGUCGGGUAGUUCGGGACGUUUACUUUGAAAAAAUUAGAGUGUUCAAGGCAGGCCUACGCCUGAAUACAUUAGCAUGGAAUAAUGGAAGAGGACCUCGGUCCUAUUUUGUUGGUUUCCAGGACCGAAGUAAUGAUUAAGAGGGACAGUUGGGGGCAUUCGUAUUUAAUUGUCAGAGGUGAAAUUCUCGGAUUUAUGAAAGACGAACAACUGCGAAAGCAUUUGCCAAGGAUGUUUUCAUUAA